rnacentral:precursor_RNA from 1 species
UACCCUUCUAUAAAUCCAGCUGCUUCUCCCCCCACCUUUGCUUCUACCUCACCCACACCCACUGUUCUUGGCCAUAGCUGCCUACUCCCAUGGUCUCCUCGUCCUUGCCCUUGUGCUCGAUCGAUCACCAGCCGAGCUGAUUUUUCUCUUCUGCUUGAUCUCUACCUCUGACAUGCAUCUGAAGACCGGAGAGCAUCUGCAUCUGCCUAUAUCAUCCGGUCAUGGAUAUGGAUAGAUGACCGGCCUGUUCAUGUCUGAAGAAAAAUCAAAGGUUUGGUUUUGAUCGGCUUGAGAGCGUGCCUGGCUCCCUGUAUGCCACUCAUGUAGCCCAAUCCAUGGUGUGUUUGGAUGCUGUGGGUGGCGUGCAAGGAGCCAAGCAUGCGUGCCAUGAUCUCUCUUUCUGCCUUAAUUCAGUUUCAGACAUGUGUAGUUGGAUUUGUUUCCUCUAGGUGUUCAUGUUAAUUACAUAUUUCAUGUUGAUUUUGCCCGUUUGGAUAUGUGUUUGUCUGCUUGGUUCGAAUUGUUUUAGCAGGGGGGCAGAACUAAUCAAGGAUACUGCAAAUCGUUGGAAUUAAUUUCUUGUUCAAUCUUGAUCCAGAUAACUAUGAGAGCUUU